rnacentral:rRNA from 1 species
GGAGAGGGGGGGGGUGUCUUCUANUAAAGACCAGCAUGAAUGGCAAGACGAAAGCCUCACUGUCUCCCUAACUCAAUCAAUGAAAUUGAUCUUCCCGUGCAGAAGCGGGAAUAAUGUUAUAAGACGAGAAGACCCUGCGGAGCUUUAAACUCUAAUUAACAAUUAUAAUGCUUUAAUAACCAGUUUUAGGUUGGGGCGACCAUGAGGUACAAUUUAACCCUCACGAUAUAAUCAAGAAGAACACUUCAAACAACUAACACUAGCACUUGACCCAAUAAUUGAUCAACGAACCAAGUUACCCCAGGGAUAACAGCGCAAUCCGCUCAAAAAGUCCUUAUUAACGAGCAGGUUUACGACCUCGAUGUUGGAUCANGACACCCAAAUAGUGCAACAGCCAUUGAAGGUUCGUUUGUUCAACGAUUAAAGUCCU